GUGGAUUAGAUACCCUGGUAGUCCACGCCGUAAACGUUGAGCACUAAGUUCUUGGAGUAAAAUUUGGGAGCUGCAGUUAACACAUUAAGUGCUCCGCCUGGGGAGUACGGUCGCAAGACUGAAACUCAAAGGAAUUGACGGGGACUCGCACAAGCGGUGGAGCAUGCGGUUUAAUUCGAUGCAACGCGAAGAACCUUACCAGGUCUUGACAUCUGAUUGCCAGGACUAGAGAUAGUCCCUUUCUUCGGAACAAUCAAGACAGGUGGUGCAUGGCUGUCGUCAGCU
rnacentral:rRNA from 1 species